AUUGAACGCUGGCGGCAUGCCUUACACAUGCAAGUCGAACGGCAGCACGGGAGCAAUCCUGGUGGCGAGUGGCGAACGGGUGAGUAAAGUAUCGGAACGUGCCCAGUCGUGGGGGAUAACGUAGCGAAAGUUACGCUGAUACCGCAUACGAUCUAUGGAUGAAAGCGGGGGAUCGCAAGACCUCGAGCGAUUGGAGCGGCCGAUAUCAGAUUAGGUAGUUGGUGGGGUAAAGGCUCACCAAGCCGACGAUCUGUAGCUGGUCUGAGAGGACGACCAGCCACACUGGGACUGAGACACGGCCCAGACUCCUACGGGAGGCAGCAGUGGGGAAUUUUGGACAAUGGGCGAAAGCCUGAUCCAGCCAUGCUGCGUGCAGGAUGAAGGCCUUCGGGUUGUAAACUGCUUUUGUACGGAACGAAAAGGUUUGGCCUAAUAAGCUGAGCUCAUGACGGUACCGUAAGAAUAAGCACCGGCUAACUACGUGCCAGCCGCCGCCGUAA
rnacentral:rRNA from 1 species